rnacentral:tRNA from 1 species
GACCAGUUGGCUCAGUCAGUUGAGCAUGGCACUUCUAACACCAAGGUCAUGGGUUCGAUUCCCGUUCA